AAGAACCAAAAAUUAAGGAGGAAGAGAAUAAUCGUUAAUUCCAAGAUCAAUUCACAGAAAACAGGAUCAAUUUCUUUCGUUCGCUUCUUCUCCUUCUUCUUCUUCUUCUUCUUCUUCUUCUUCUUUUUGUCUUCUUCAUCCUCGUCGUUUUGUUGUGUAGGAACCAAAUGGAGAAUAAAAGAAGAAAUCAAUAGGAUAUAAAGAAAAUGAAGGAAGAGAAAUAUUAGGCAUAAAAAACCCGAACCGAAACCGAGAGAGUAACAACGAUAGCGAGGAGAACGAUCGAGCAUGACUGAACAACCGUUCUCUUCGAAGUCUCUUCGACCGAUCCCGCAUCGCGCGAUUCGCGCGCGCACGAGAGAAAAACGAAGAGAAAAAUCAAAGAGAGGGGAAAGAAUAGAGAGAAAAAGAGAAAAAGAGCAAAAGAGAAUUGAAUAGGUAUCGUACGUUUUUAUGGAAGAAGAACUCGAAAGAAAACGCGCGGCCAACCGUGACAAGGGUGGAUCGACGACUGAGCGAUAAACCUCUCUUGAUUGGCUUAAUAUAGUCCGGCGAAGAGAGUAAUUAGCCGCUCCUCGCCGCGCGGGAAAUGAUUGGUCAAUUUAAACCUAGAAACACGGUGCAUUAAGCAUUCAAGCGGCGUUCACUACCUAUUAACGGUUUGCAAGAGAAGCUCCUCGUCGCAACCACCACCAUCGUCCUCCUCACCAUCGUCAUCACCAUCACCGUAUGUAUCAUCGUAGUCAUCACCAUCACGAGUAUCGUCACCUUUCUAUGGUGGUUAGUAGAGACGAUGCUACUGGACCCUACUGGACACAUAAGAGAAGAGAAGAGAAGAGAAUAAGGAAGGGCAUUUGGAAACGUCAUCCAUCGUUCGAUGGAUUCGUCCAUAAAUUGGCAAACAAUAGCAAAUGGAGGGCCUUGUACGUAGCUUGACGGAAGAAGAAGAAGAAGAAGCAGAAGAAGAAGAAGAAGAAGAAAAAAGAGGGACGGGUUCGCCGAUUAAACGACAAGCAAGCCAGACACGCACUGGCCCUCAUGCUUCGAACACUGUAUCUAUAGAAUGUAACUACUAUUACAUGCUA